GACGAACGCUGGCGGCGUGCUUAACACAUGCAAGUCGAACGGAAAGGCCCUGCUUGCAGGGUACUCGAGUGGCGAACGGGUGAGUAACACGUGGGUGAUCUGCUCUGCACUUCGGGAUAAGCCUGGGAAACUGGGUCUAAUACCGGAUAGGAGCCAUUUUUAGUGUGAUGGUUGGAAAGUUUUCUCGGUGUAGGAUGAGCUCGCGGCCUAUCAGCUUGUUGGUGGGGUAAUGGCCUACCAAGGCGGCGACGGGUAGCCGGCCUGAGAGGGUGGACGGCCACAUUGGGACUGAGAUACGGCCCAGACUCCUACGGGAGGCAGCAGUGGGGAAUAUUGCACAAUGGGCGCAAGCCUGAUGCAGCGACGCCGCGUGGGGGAUGACGGCCUUCGGGUUGUAAACUCCUUUCGCUAGGGACGAAGCUUUUUGUGACGGUACCUAGAUAAGAAGCACCGGCUAACUACGUG
rnacentral:rRNA from 1 species